UUGGAGGGCAAGUCUGGUGCCAGCAGCCGCGGUAAUUCCAGCUCCAAUAGCGUAUAUUAAAGUUGUUGCAGUUAAAAAGCUCGUAGUUGAACUUCGGGAUCAAUUAGUUGGUCAUGCCUUGGUAUGUACUGAUUUUAUUGGUUCUCACCUUCUAAAGAACUAUAAUGUCAUUUAUUUGAUGUUAUAGGGAAUUAGGACUGUUACCUUGAAAAAAUUAGAGUGUUUAAAGCAGGCUCACGCUUGAAUACAUUAGCAUGGAAUAAUGAAAUAGGACAUCGCAUUCUAUUUUGUUGGUUUCUAGGAUCGAUGUAAUGAUUAAUAGGGAUAGUUGGGGGCAUUAGUAUUCAAUUGUCAGAGGUGAAAUUCUUGGAUUUAUUGAAGACUAACUACUGCGAAAGCAUUUGCCAAGGAUGUUUUCAUUAAUCAAGAACGAAAGUUAGGGGAUCGAAGACGAUCAGAUACCGUCGUAGUCUUAACCAUAAACUAUGCCGACUAGGGAUCGGAUGAUGUUAAUUUUUUAAUGACUCAUUCGGCGCCUUACGGGARACCAAAGUGUUUGGGUUC
rnacentral:rRNA from 1 species